GCCGGGAUAUUCUAGUGGUUAUGACGUCGGCCUCACACGCAGAAGGUCGCGAGUUCAAUCCUCGUUCCUGGUA
rnacentral:tRNA from 1 species